rnacentral:lncRNA from 1 species
GGUUCUGGAGUGGCUGGCGGCGGGGCCUGGGUGUCCGCCCAGUGCCCGAGGACGCAGGCUUUGGCACCGAAGCCCGGACCUCUAGUGACGUUGAACAAGCCACAGGGUCUACCAGUGACAGGAAAACCAGGAGAGCUGACGUUGUUCUCAGUGCUGCCAGAGCUGAGCCAGUCCCUAGGGCUCAGGGAGCAGGAGCUUCAGGUUGUCCGAGCAUCUGGGAAAGAAAGCUCUGGGCUUGUACUCCUCUCCAGCUGUCCCCAGACAGCUAGUCGCCUCCAGAAGUACUUCAUCCAUGCACGAAGAGCCCAGAGGCCCACAGCCAUCUACUGUGCUGUCACUGAUGGGAUCCCAGCUGCUUCUGAGGGGAAGAUCCAGGCUGCCCUGAAACUGGAACACAUUGAUGCGGUCAAUCUCACAGUUCCAGUGAAGGCCCCAUCCCGAAAGGACAUCCUGGAAGGUGUCAAGAAGACUCUCAGUCACUUUCGUGUGGUAGCCACAGGCUCUGGCUGUGCCCUGGU